rnacentral:rRNA from 1 species
GGGGGGAUAGUGCACAAUGGGCGAAAGCCUGAUGCAGCGACGCCGCGUGGGGGAUGAAGGCCUUCGGGUUGUAAACUUCUUUUGCUCUGAACAAGGCGCACCAUGGGGUGUGUUGAGUGUAGGGGUUGAUUAGCGCCGGCUAACUACGUGCCAGCAGCCGCGGUAAUACGUAGGGCGCGAGCGGUGUCCGGAAUUAUUGGGCGUAAAGGGCUUGUAGGUGGCUGGUUGCGUCUGUCGUGAAAGCUCAUGGCUUAACUGUGGGUUUGCGGUGGGUACGGGCUGGCUUGAGUGCAGUAGGGGAGGCUGGAAUUCCUGGUGUAGCGGUGGAAUGCGCAGAUAUCAGGAGGAAUACCGGUGGCGAAGGCGGGUCUCUGGGCUGUUACUGACACUGAGGAGCGAAAGCAUGGGGAGCGAACAGG